AUUGAACGCUGGCGGCAGGCCUAACACAUGCAAGUCGAACGAGUGGCGGACGGGUGAGUAAUGCUUGGGAAACUGCCAGAUGGAGGGGGAUAACUACAGGAAACAGUAGCUAAUACCGCAUAACAUCGGAGGAGCCCAGCUGGGAUUUGGUAGUCGGUGGGGUAAAGGCUCACCAAGGCGAAGAUCGCUAGCUGGUCUGAGAGGAUGACCAGCCACACUGGAACUGAUACACGGUUCAGACUCCGACGGGAGGCAGCAGUGGGGAAUAUUGCACAAUGGGCGCAACCCUUAUGCAGCCAUGCCGCGUGUAUGAAGAAGGCCUUCGGGUUGUAAAGUACUUUCAGCAGUGAGUCGUUACCCACAGAAGAAGCACCGGCUAACUCCGUGCCAGCAGCCGCGGUAAUUC
rnacentral:rRNA from 1 species